GGGGAGAAACCACUGGGAUGGAUCAACUGAGGGAUGAACUGGGAGGGAUCCACCGGGGAUCCUCUCGGGGAUUUGUUGGGGAUCCCUUGGGGGGAUCCACUGAGGGAUCCACUGAGGGAUCCACAGAGGGAUCCGUGCCCUCCCCUCCCCCAGGGCCACGGGGUGCUGGAGAUGCCAUCGGGGACGGGCAAGACGGUGUCGCUGCUGUCGCUGAUCAUCGCCUACCAGCGGGCUCACCCCCUGGACGUGUCCAAGCUGAUUUACUGCUCCCGCACCGUGCCCGAGAUCGAGAAGGUGGUGGAGGAGCUGCGGAAGCUUCUGGAAUGUUACGAGCGGGAGCUGGGGGAGCCCCUGCCCUGCCUGGCGCUGGCGCUGAGCUCCCGCAAGAAUCUCUGCGUGCACCCCGAGGUGGGGAUCCACUGCGGGGAUCCACUGC
rnacentral:lncRNA from 1 species